CAGCAGCCGCGGUAAUACGAAGGGGGCUAGCGUUGUUCGGAAUUACUGGGCGUAAAGCGCACGUAGGCGGACAUUUAAGUCAGGGGUGAAAUCCCGGGGCUCAACCCCGGAACUGCCUUUGAUACUGGGUGUCUAGAGUAUGGAAGAGGUGAGUGGAAUUCCGAGUGUAGAGGUGAAAUUCGUAGAUAUUCGGAGGAACACCAGUGGCGAAGGCGGCUAACUGGUCCAUUACUGACGCUGAGGUGCGAAAGCGUGGGGAGCAAACAGGAUUAGAUACCCCUGUAGUCCCUGUCUCUUAUAU
rnacentral:rRNA from 1 species